UGAACGCAAGUUGCGCCUGAGGCCAUUUGGCCGAGGGCACAUCUGCCUGGGCGUCACGC
rnacentral:rRNA from 5 species